AGUGAACGCUGGCGGUAGGCCUAACACAUGCAAGUCGAACGGCAGCACAGUAAGAGCUUGCUCUUACGGGUGGCGAGUGGCGGACGGGUGAGGAAUACAUCGGAAUCUACUUUUUCGGGGGGAUAACGGAGGGAAACUUACGCUAAUACCGCAUACGACCUACGGGUGAAAGCAGGGGAUCUUCGGACCUUGCGCGAAUGAAUGAGCCGAUUUCGGAUUAGCUAGUUGGCGGGGUAAAGGCCCACCAAGGCGACGAUCCGUAGCUGGUCUGAGAGGAUGAUCAGCCACACUGGAACUGAGACCCGGUCCAGACUCCUACGGGAGGCGGCAGUGGGGAAUAUUGGACAAUGGGCGCAAUCCUGCUCCAGCCAUCCCGCGUGGGUGAAGAAGGCCUUCGGGUUGUAAACCCCUUUUGUUGGGAAAGAAAAGCAGCAGGUUAAUACCCCGCUGUUCUGACGGUACCCAAAGAAUAAGCCCCGGCUAACUUCGUG
rnacentral:rRNA from 1 species